GUAGGGGGCGAGCGUUGUCCGGAAUUACUGGGCGUAAAGNGAGCGUAGGCGGUCUGAUAAGUUGGAUGUGAAAUACCCNGGCNUAACUUGGGGGGUGCAUCCAAUACUGUUGGACUAGAGUUCAGGAGAGGAAAGCGGAAUUCCUAGUGUAUCGGUGAAAUGCAUAGAUAUUAGGAGGAACAUCGGUGGCGAAGGCGGCUUUCUGNAACUGCAACUCACGCUGAGGCUCGAAAGCGUGGGGAGCAAACAGGAUUAGAUACCAUGGUAGUCCACGCUGUAAACGAUGAAUACUAGGUGUAGGGGGUAUAACUCNCUUAUGUGCACGCAGCAAACGCAAUAAGUAUUCCNCCUANNGAGU
rnacentral:rRNA from 1 species